UACGUAGGGCGCAAGCGUUGUCCGGAAUUAUUGGGCGUAAAGAGCUCGUAGGCGGUCUGUUGCGUCCGCUGUGAAAACUCGGGGCUUAACCCCGAGCCUGCAGUGGAUACGGGCAGACUAGAGGUAGGUAGGGGAGAAUGGAAUUCCCGGUGUAGCGGUGAAAUGCGCAGAUAUCGGGAGGAACACCGGUAGCGAAGGCGGUUCUCUGGGCCUUACCUGACGCUGAGGAGCGAAAGCGUGGGGAGCGAACGAGG
rnacentral:rRNA from 1 species